rnacentral:tRNA from 1 species
GGGCCUGUAGCUCAGUUGGUAAGAGCGCACGCCUGAUAAGCGUGAGGUCGGUGGUUCGAGUCCACUCAGGCCCACCA